GUCUGGGAGAUCUAGACACACUGGAGCGCCACAGAUCUCUCUUGACUAUAGCGGCCCCUUUGCCAUUGACUCUCCAUAAGGAAGAAAAGGUCUUGCUUCAGUAGAAAUUGUGGUCUGAAAUAUACUUUCCAUAUUUUGAACACCUUCUGAUGCUGCUGGGUUCACUGGACAGGCGGGUUAGAGAAGAGACAUCAGAACACUGCACAGCAUAAUUCUUUCAUCUUUUAAUAGGAAAACUGCCACCAUCUGGAAAGUUAAUGUCACAGCGCUGUGGCCUAUCCAGAAUUAUUUCACCUGCUCCCACACUGACCAGAGAAAUAGGCCACAGGCUACAUUUGGUCCAUAUCCUAUGGUUUGCUAAACAUCCCUGUAAUGAUGGACGGCCGGAACAUAGAUGCAUUUGGGAAAUUAGUCUAAAAGAAUUAAAGAAAGUAA